AGAACAAAAAAUGAGAUAUAUCUCUUGGAAAUAUGCUACACCUGCUUCAAACUUGUUACAGAAAAGGAGACUUAUUACUACUCCAACCUGAUUCCUAUAAUCAUCUAUAAUCAACAACUAUAUAAAAAGCUACAACAGAGCAUUUAAUAUAAAUUCUUGUUCAUACAGAUGUUCAAAAAGAUACAUGGAACCAUUUAGAGGCUACUUCAGAUAACAUUUGAAUGCAGAGAGAGGCAGCUCCCAAAUGUGAAAAAACAGCACUAGCAGUUGGUUUUCUUUUCCGGCCCAUAUUUCACAAAGAAACAGCUUUUAUCACUUCGAGAGUUACUGUGUACGCGAUGACAAGUAGAGAAAAACAAAGCUGCGUUGAGAUGUGGGUGCUGGCCUGUCUGAUAGGCUCCCUCUGAGCUACGUGAUCAGCUCCUAUUUGCAAGCCUGGCAGCAAGCAAGUAACAUUUCAGCCUCAGCAAAACUACAAAUUACUUUACCACAGACCUUGGAAUCAGUUUUUUCAGGUAUUCAAGGUGCUAAACGAAAGAUGGCCAGCCCUCAUUCAACAAGUAUUCAAUGAAGAGCUACCAAGCCUAGAGAUGCAGUACCAAGUAAAGAAGAAGACAACUCUCUGAGCCUACUGCUCCUUGCUAAUCUCUGGGCUAACUUUAGACAAACAAUAGAAACAUAAAUGUCAUGCAAACUUUAAACCCCUACAAACAAGCUAGAAUUCUCUAAAUUGCUAAAUCUGCUGCACGCAAUUUCAUCAAGAGUGCUAUAGGGGUAAGAUGCAUGAAAUAUGGUGAGGCAACAGGGAUUUUUUUUUGA